CAUGAUAAUUGUAAUUUUCGAACUGAUCUGUGCAUAUUAAUGAUAUCAGAAUUGUUUGUCAUUGAUUUUCAGCUUUCCAUUCUGAAAAGAGGCCCAAUUGGCUACUAGUAUGUAUUCAGUUGUGGGACAAGUAGGUGGUCAGUUGUGGGCUAGUAGGUGGUCAGUUAUGGGACAAUUAGGUGGUCAGUUGUGGGCUAGUAGGUGGUCAGUUGUGGGCUAGUAGGUGGUCAGUUGUGGGCUAGUAGGUGGUCAGUUGUGGGCUAGUAGGUGGUCAGUUGUGGGACAAGUAGGUGGUCAGUUGUGGGCUAGUAGGUGGUCAGUUGUGGGACAGGUAGGUGGUCAGUUGUGGGCUAAUAGGUGGUCAGUUGUGGGACAAGUAGGUGGUCAGUUGUGGGCUAGUAGGUGGUCAGUUGUGGGACAAGUAGGUGGUCAGUUGUGGGCUAGUAGGUGGU